UACAGAGGUCCCAAGCGUUGUUCGGAUUCAUUGGGCGUAAAGGGUGCGUAGGUGGCGGGGUAAGUCAGGUGUGAAAUCUCGAGGCUCAACCUCGAAACUGCACUUGAUACUGCCUUGCUAGAGUACUGGAGAGGAGAUUGGAAUUUACGGUGUAGCAGUGAAAUGCGUAGAUAUCGUAAGGAAGACCAGUGGCGAAGGCGAAUCUCUGGACAGUUACUGACACUGAGGCACGAAGGCCAGGGGAGCAAACGGG
rnacentral:rRNA from 1 species